rnacentral:tRNA from 1 species
GUCGGGGUGCGCGAGGAGCGCAAAGCUGAAGCUGAGCCUUGUCGUGACAUCCGCGGUUCCAGUGGAGGUUCGAGUCCUCCUCCCGGCAC